CAUCAGUUACUUAUAUGGUUCCAUAAUUUUAAUUUUUAGAUAAAAAGAGUUUUAUUCUUGCUUGAAUAUUUAUUAUUAAAAUAUUUUACAUGUAAAUUUUUGUGAGAUUAAUAAUUUAUUUCUUAAUGAUAAUUUGUUAUUCGCAGUAUUUGAUAUUAAUAAUCAAAGGGAUUUGGAAUUAGUAAUUUUUGUUAAUAUUGGUUAAAAACGUGCCAGCUACCGCGGUUAGACGUGGAAUAUAAAUAAAUUUUAUUAGUUAGGAAUUAAGUUGUGUAAAGUUAAAUUAUGAAAGGGAGUUUAAAGGUGAAAUUUGUUAAUUUUUUUUAUAAUUUAUUUUGUGGGAAUGAAGUUUUGAAAAUUGAAUAUUAAACUAGGAUUAGAUACCCUAUUAUUUUAAUUGUAAAAUUAAGGCUUGAGUAGUAUUAGAUAUGUUCUUGAAACUUAAAGAAUUUGGCGGUGUUUUAGUCUUUUCAGAGGAAUCUGUUCUGUAAUUGAUAGCACACAUUAAAUUUUACUUAAUUUUGUACACACAGUUUGUAUACCACCGUUAUAAGUUUAUCUUUUUAGAGAUAUAAUUUUCUUAAAAUUAAUAAAUGAGAUGACAGGUCAAGGUGCAGCUAAUAGUUAAGAUGAGAUGGAUUACAAUAAAUUUAUUUAAAUGGAUUUUUUAAUGAAAUUUAAAAAUGAAGGUGGAUUUGAAAGUAAUUUUGUUAAAUUAUGAUUAAAUGACUGAAGCUCUAGAACAUGUACAGAUCGCCCGUCGCUCUCGUUAUUAAAAUGAGAUAAGUCGUAACAUAGUAGUUGUACUGGAAAGUGUAACUAGGAAGU
rnacentral:ncRNA from 1 species